rnacentral:tRNA from 1 species
ACGCCUGCCUGUCACGCAGGAGAUCGCGGGUUCGAUUCCCGUCGAGACCGCCA